rnacentral:misc_RNA from 1 species
GCCCAUCCACGCUCGGGUGCACAUCCGAUGCGGACAUUGGCCCUUCGAGCCGGGAGGCGCGAUGGGCUUAAGUGUGACGGUCGUUGGCUGAGGCCGGGAGCGACGAGUGGUGGGCUACUAGCGCGAGUCGUUCCCGGGUCUCACGUCGACGGAUGGCCUGCACGGACCCCAAAUGAGAUCCAGUCGCUCGCAGCUUGACGUUGCGCGGCAUGAUCGGACU